GACGAACGCUGGCGGCGUGCUUAACACAUACAAGUCGAACGGAAAGGCCCUGCUUUUGUGGGUUGCUCGAGUGGCGAACGGGUGAGUAACACGUGAGUAACCUGCCCCUGACUUUGGGAUAACCUCAGGAAACUGGGGCUAAUACCGGAUAGGAUCUCCUGCUGCAUGGUGGGGGUUGGAAAGUUUCGGCGGUUGGGGAUGGACUCGCGGCUUAUCAGCUUGUUGGUGGGGUAGUGGCUUACCAAGGCUUUGACGGGUAGCCGGCCUGAGAGGGUGACCGGCCACAUUGGGACUGAGAUACGGCCCAGACGCCUACGGGAGGCAGCAGUGGGGAAUAUUGCACAAUGGGCGGAAGCCUGAUGCAGCAACGCCGCGUGCGGGAUGACGGCCUUCGGGUUGUAAACCGCUUUCGCCUGUGACGAAGCGUGAGUGACGGUAAUGGGUAAAGAAGCACCGGCUAACUACGUG
rnacentral:rRNA from 1 species